rnacentral:misc_RNA from 1 species
UCGUCUUUGUGGUGGAUCACUUGGGUGUUGUGACGAUGAAGAACGUAGCAAGCCGCGUUAUUUAAUGUGACAUGCAAAGCUCGUGAAACAUCGAAUUGUCGAACAUAUACACUACUGGCCAACAUACGUGUCUGUCCAGUACUUGUUUGAGAGUGUCAGCCUUUAACUUUGUGGACAAGAGUGUGACUCGAGAUCGUUGAUCAGAGUCGAAGUGAAUCUUGUUUAUUCAGAUAGUGAUGAUCAAUCGCUAUUCAUUUUCUGACCUCUCCUGUGAGAGAUUACCUACUGAAUUUAAGCAUAUUAGUAAGUAGAGGAAAAGAAAUCAAAAGAGAUUCCCUUAGUAGCGGCGAGUGAAACGGGA